rnacentral:lncRNA from 1 species
AAUAUUGGAACUCUUUUUACUAUAUAAGUACUUAAAACUAUUUAAGUGGUGUAAGAAGAACAUAAGCUUUAUAAAUUGUAAAGUGAUAAAAUAAAAUUCCAUCUGAUAUAUUCAAAGAGUGGAAAAUAUGGAUAAAAUUUUCAAGUUUGUUUAUGUUAUGAUAAUUCUUCUUUCCCUAGUUUUUCUUCCAAAACUUCCAAGUACUUAGUAAAUCAAUUUUAUCUCCUUUUCAAAUUUCCUUCUUUAUUACUUCGUACAAAAUAUUUUAUUUCAUUUUAAUAACAUCGUUUUUUUUUCUUAUUACAAUACAGUUCCCAUUCCAUGUUUAACGGAUCGUGAUUGUCCAUCACUUCCUAAGGGGCGCAGUUCAAAUCCUAGUAAACUGAGGUGUCGUAAUGGUUUUUGUAUAGGGAAAUGAUUAAUAUAGCGAACAGUAUCUCACGAAGGAAAUCACAAAUGAUGUGGCAUCUUUUAUUUAAUUUAAUUAAUUUAAUGAUCUCUCUUUCUAGUCUCUUUUCAUCUUCCGUUCCGGUGACAAGACUCAAUCUUCUUCUCUUUGCAACUUUGCCUUGUUCUCCUUCCAAAAUUAAUUAUAUGAACAUCCAAUUUUCUUUCUAUAUAUAUGAAAAUAUGGAUUUAUUGUGUUUAUGUCUGUUUUUUUUUUAGUUUUCACCGUAGUUUAAGCUGGUUCGGGGUCAGUUCUGAUAACAAGUGGUUCUAGUCCCCUCCCAAUCACUGUUGUGGAGAAUCGAACCGUGGUCAUCCCUACCAAAUUCACCAC